AGUCGAACGGAAAGGCCCUUCGGGGUACUCGAGUGGCGAACGGGUGAGUAACACGUGGGUGAUCUGCCCUGCACUUUGGGAUAAGCCUGGGAAACUGGGUCUAAUACCGGAUAGGACCACGCGCUUCAUGGUGUGUGGUGGAAAGCUUUUGCGGUGUGGGAUGGGCCCGCG
rnacentral:rRNA from 1 species